AUUGAACGCUGGCGGCAUGCCUAACACAUGCAAGUCGAACGGUAACAGGCCCCUUCGGGGUGCUGACGAGUGGCGGAUGGGUGAGUAAUACUUAGGAAUCUACCCUGUAGUGGGGGACGAACCCGGGGAAACUCGGGCUAAUACCGCAUACGCUCUACGGAGGAAAGCGGGGGACCGCAAGGCCUCGCGCUAUUGGAUGAGCCUAAGCCCGAUUAGCUAGUUGGUGGGGUAAUAGCCACCAAGGCAAUGAUCGGUAGCUGGUCUGAGAGGACGACCAGCCACACUGGGACUGAGACACGG
rnacentral:rRNA from 1 species